CACCCUUCGGCUUCAGAGAAGCUCCAGCCCUGUUGUCACCAAGCAGGUUCCCCCUAGGCAGAGCGCCAAGAAGCAGCCCAGGCGAUCCCAAGGCGCACAAGUGCUCUCACCAGGCUGCGCGCUGGCGGGUCGGUGCACAGGGACGGGGUCGCCGCCCACGCGCGCUUGGUUCAGGGAGCCCAGGCUGUCCCUACCCGCGGCUACAAAAGCUCGCCGAGUCUUCCUGUCCACCCAAUCGCCCCACAUGUCAGCGGUUGGUCGCCUCGCGGUGCAGUGCUGGGCACGCGAGCCCCUCCCGCAGUCAUUCUCAGCACAAGCACCAGCCUGGAGCCCCGCAGCGACAGAGCUGAGAGCCCCCAAGCCGCAGAGGUCGUGCGGAGCAGGUUGCAAAUGUCUUAGAAACACACUCCUGGACCACAGCUUCAAGAGACGCAAGCAGUCACCUCAUCUGCUGGUUUCCAAGCUGCCCUGCCAGAAGCAGGUCAGGGGUCCCACAGGGGUCCUCAGUAACUCCUCAAAAUCCUCUCCCAUCAAUGGCCCCACCAGAUCAUCCCUACUUUUGAAUGCUUGUCCAAUGCAGGUUCCAGAUUUGAUUAAGUGAAACAAAGCCCCAGCUGCUGGAGCAGAGGUUCCACUUGGGUUCCACAGACACCCACAGCCCAAAUCCCUGGAGGCCUAAGGCAAUAGCUAAUUGAGACUAUGCAUCACUAUUAAGGCAUCUUCACUAAAGGGCGCUGUGGAAACGCUGCCUGAGAUGCAGACACCUGUCAGAAGGGGGCUAAAUUUCAAACAAGGAACGUGGUGUUGCAUCACAAUAAAUAGAUACGGGGUUUCACCGUGUUAGCCAGGAUGGUCUCGAUCUCCUGACUUCAUGAUUCACAUGCCUCGGCCUCCCAAAGUGCUGGGAUUACAGAACAGAAGAAACACACGUGUUCUUGUGUGUAAACCCAGUCCAUGGAAGAGACCGUCUGCUUGUCCCUCCUGAUCUCUGGGCCCAGACAACCAGUAGUCACCAUUCCAAGUGAGGGGUGGCUGCAACUCUACAGCCCCGUUCGUCUCUCCUCACUGUCAAAGCUGCUGAGACCCCAGACUCGACACUUGAAAGAAACCCAUGUCUGUGAAGCACUUGUGGACCAUUCAAGAUUGUGGAAGAAUCACUCAAGAGAAGGAGAUAGCAAUAUUUGCAGAUAUGCAAACUGGCCCCUUGCAUGCACAUCCUGGAGCACGUCCUGGAGCCUUUAGAGGUGAGUGAGAAGGAGACGGCUGCUGCUGUUCCAGUCUCUCCUUAGGCAGACUUGAGUUUCUACCCACUCUUCCCAAGCAGCCGCCCCUCCGCACCCGAGCGAGCCAAAGACCUGGCGGGCUGAGUACUCACUGCGCGCUGGACACAUGCUGAGCCGGCACUGCAGGGACACAGGGCGAGCCGCUGGAUGCAGACCUGUGGCCGCGGCAGUUGGGCUUAUCUUGCCCAUGAAGUUGCCUCUGAAGAACCAAGUCCAACUGUGUAUGCUGAGAGAUGUCUGGCUACUUCCUGAUUGACAGUUCUGGCAAGGUGGCAUUGGGCCCUGGCUUUUCCUCUGGAGGCAUCAUCACUUAUAGGAAAAUGUCCCCUGAAGUCCAAGGAUCAAAGCUGCUGGAACACUGAGAAGCUGAACAAAGGAGAACUGUUUCUCAUCAAACCCAGACUUCCAGACUUCCAAUAGGGUAGAAUGAGCAAGUCAGCAAAUCAUCUUCCUUGGAAACAGUGAUAAAACUAGAUGACAUUGUCAACAACAGCCAUUUCAGAAAUCUAGAAAAUGACCAAAGGCAAACAACAAACUGAGAAGCAUUUUUUUUUCCAUGAAAAAUCGCUCUAUUUCUGCAAAAAUAGUGGGAGUCUAUGGCUUCUCAUCCAGGGCUGUUUCUCUCCCCACCCCAGCUCAGUCAGUACAAAGGUUCUGGCAGCAUGAGGCAGACUGAACAGACCUGAAGUUUGAUUGCUGGAAGAAACUGACUCCAGGUUUGGCAGAGGGUGAGAAACCUACUCCCAGCCAUGUUGUCUGGUGACACAGUGACCUUAGGGACAAGUGAAUAGGGAAGGCCAGUGAUUCAUUAACCUGAGGUUGCAGUCCUGGUUGGGGAAAGCAUCAGAAUGGCAGAUAAGCUAGAAAUUUAGUAGGGAUAUGCUGGAAAUGAGACAACCCCAAAGGGGCUUGACCCCAAAGUUGUCCACACACCCCAGCUGCCUUCUGAGCAGAUGUAGGGAGAGACCAGAGAAGGCCUAGGCUAUCCACACAUCUCUGGCUAACCCAGGCUGUAAACCUGUGGAGGAGACACAAGAGGUGGAUUGAUUGCUAAUGGGCAUAUGGGGGAUCUUACUGGUUGAUAGGAACAUUCUCAAAUUGGAUUGUGGUGAUGCUUGCACAACUCUAAGUUUAUCCCAAAUUGCUAAAUUUUACACUAAAA
rnacentral:lncRNA from 1 species